CUGAAAAUAGCCAUUUUUGGCUAUGUGUAACUUUCAAAGGAAGGCAAUUCAGAAAAUUCACGCCUUCUAUCAGACAGCGGCGGACAUGACGCGUUGUUUGCCAUCAACGUCAGAAGAAGAAGAAGCGGGAAAACAGUAGGUGGCGUAACAUUUUAACGUUGUGUGCGCCGACCUCGAACGAAAACGAGGAAGAAGAAGAAAGAGAAGAAGAAGCGGGAACGUUUUUGGAAACGACAACCGCAACGCUUGUGACAGAAGACUUGGAGAGGAUGGACAAAAAGAAAAUUACAACAUAAGAGGUUAAGAGUUCCCACAAAGAAAAUGAAGGACCUGCAUAAUUCUCCUCCCCCAAAUGAGCAAUCUGGGUGUUUGGCCUUCGUCAGAUGGGAGGACGGUUAUACCGGCAAAAUCUUUACUGGAGCAGACAUUUUGUCAAGAGAUGAAGCUCCUGUGCAGAUCUUAGAACAGGAGAUUCUGUUUUAGCAAAGUGGUCAGAUGGUAAAUUUUAUAGGGCAACUGUUGAAUAUAUUUCAAGAAAAGUGACGGGGGACUUGUAACAGGCAGCAACACUGUUGGACCACCACCACCACCCUAUGGGAGAGAUGCAGGCAACCCAUCUGUCGAGGACACUAUCUCAUAUCGACCGCAGGCAGAAAAAUCAUGGACGCCAUGUGAUGGAUGUUGGGAGGAGUUCGAAAAAAUCCUGCGAGAAAAGCAACAAAUCGAAGAAGUCCUCUUGAAAAUAGGCAAGUAAUUAAUGCUAAUUUAUUCAUGAUGUAAUUAUUUUGUUUACGUAAAUUUGUGAUUUGGCCUUGAACACAUUAUUUUCUCAUUCGGGUAUUGUUUGUGCUAUUUUUUCCCUUUCUGAUCCGGACCAAGUCAGAGUACUCCAAACUCUCUGCGACCUCAUUAGUGACAAAUACAGCGACGGCCCUCCUCAACAAUCGGGCCAGCAGGAGCUCUUUCCUGAGAGCGGCGUAUUCAUGUCCUCGUUCCGCCUUGCUGCCAUGAGUCAUGCUUCAAAGCCCAAUUGCAUGCGUUUAUUCCACGCACUUUCUGACCACUUUUUUACAGUUGAGGAGUGUCAAAAUGCUGUCGCUUUUGGUCGCCCUGGAAACAAACCUGUAGGAACAGGAAAGCGCAUCCUUGACCGGAAAAAAGUUGAAGAAAUCCUAACGUAUGUCCUGAGAUGCGGUACCCUUCCUGAUUGGGACAAUAUUGAGGAGGCCAAGCUCAAGCAAGCUUUGGUAAACAAAUGUCGGGAAAGAGCAGGUUUUAAGUAGGCCCUUGUACCUGCCAAGUUCAUUCUGGGGUAGGAUGUUUCCUUUGUAAACAUGUUGAUAUUUUGGUCUGGGGUUGCGCAGUAUAUAUUGUAUAAAAAUGCCCUAUGAUGUAGCUUUUAGUACCACGUUAUACUGUGACAAUGCAUAUUGAGCUGUGCUGUGUCUCGCAAAUUUGGCACUGAUGCAACCUCACUAACAAGAUAGCGGCUAAUAUCCCUUCACAGUACAAAGCUGUUUCCAAAUAAAAAACGGAAAUGACGCAGUAUGUUAGUAGCUUUUGUAACCAAUUUCAAAAUGUUUUAAUGAUCAUUUAUGUACCAAAUGUUAUAUUGUUAUCACAGGAGGCUGUUCUAUUGUUUACAACUGUGUUUCUUAAUCAUAGGGCUGGGGCCCACUGUUUGGCUGCGAAUACCCCUCGGGGGCCGCCAAUAAAUAUCUGUCUCUUAGCUGUGGUCCGUCCAUAUGGGCCGCAAUGGUACUCAGUUGUAAUACACUUUAGUGUAAGAUGACUAAUUCAGUGUUUGUAUUUGAGUGGGUCCGAGACCCCUCUGUAGUGGAAAAGUUGGUCGGGCCCUGAGGUAAAAAAUGUUAAGUAUCCUUGGUGUUCAAUGUGUGAUUAUUUUUUAUAUGUAGACCAGUUCCAAACACCACGGUUACAAUUUUAUAAAUGUAUUUCAGUUUUUGCUUGGAAUAUUUCCAAAAUGGAAAUUUAGUCAUUUACUCACCCUCUUACUGAGAUUAAGUCAGGUGUUUUUUUUAACUACAGUACAUGGUUUGCUCAACAAGGAGUUAAAAAAAACUACACCGGACUUUUUCACAACAACAAAGUGAGUACCGGUACUUAAGGUUAAAUUCAUUUAGUUUUGUAUUUGUUUUAUUUUUUGUAUAUUGUUUUCUAUGUUGUUUUAAUUAUUGUGAAUGUCAAUAUGUACAUUAUGUAUGUACUAAUUAACUACAUUUAAAUUGUUGUAUUUAAUCUAUUUUUAUAUCUUAUAUUUUGUAUUUGUAUAUG